rnacentral:rRNA from 1 species
UGGGGAAUUUUGGACAAUGGGGGAAACCCUGAUCCAGCCAUGCCGCGUGAGUGAAGAAGGCCUUCGGGUUGUAAAGCUCUUUCGGACGGAACGAAAUUGCUUGGACUAAUACUCUGAGUAGAUGACGGUACCGUAAGAAGAAGCACCGGCUAACUACGUGCCAGCAGCCGCGGUAAUACGUAGGGUGCGAGCGUUAAUCGGAAUUACUGGGCGUAAAGCGUGCGCAGGCGGUUGCCUAAGCCAGGCGUGA